rnacentral:rRNA from 1 species
AUUAAGCCAUGCAUGUCUAAGUAUAAACGAUUUAAUCGUGAAACCGCGAAUGGCUCAUUAUAACAGCUAUAAUUUACUUGAUCUUGACACAAUCCUACUUGGAUAACUGUGGUAAUUCUAGAGCUAAUACAUGCAUUAAAGCUCUGACCUCACGGGAAGAGUGCAUUUAUUAGAACAAAACCAAGCGGCUUCGGCUGUUUCUGGUUGACUCAUAGUAACUGAGCUGAUCGCAUGGUCUUGCACCGGCGACGUGUCUUUCAAGUAUCUGCCGUAUCAACUUUCGAUGGUAGUGUAUCUGACUACCAUGGUGAUCACGCGUAACGGAGAAUAAGGGUUCGGCUCCGGAGAGUUCGCCUGAGAAAUCGCGAACACAUCUAAGGAAGGCAGCAGGCGCGAAAAUUACCCACUCUCAGCACGAGGAGGUAGUGACGAAAAAUAACGAGACCGUUCUCUUAUGAGGCCGGUCAUCGGAAUGGGUACAAUUUAAACCCUUAACGAGUU